GGAUUUAUGAUGAGUUAUGUUUACUGAGUAUGAUGAAGUGAAACUCAGUGUGAGUACUCUGAAGUCC
rnacentral:snoRNA from 10 species